rnacentral:lncRNA from 1 species
CCACCCGAACAGUCUCUCCUCCUCACAGAAGCCUGGAGCUGGGCAUCCAAGAAGAAGCAGCCUCAUUUGUUUUCUGGUGUCAUCGUAGGUGGCCACCUAUGGCUUUUGGGCUUCUCACCUGGGGCGGGUGGGUUCUGCACCACCCUCCCACCCUCCUUCCUCCGUGUGGACGAUAGAGCCACAUCCAGCACCACGGACAGCUCCCGGGCGCCUUCAUCUCCUCGUCCUCCAGGCAGCACAAGCCAUUGUGGAAUCUCCACCAGGUGUACAGAACGGUGCCUCUGCGUCCUGCCACUCAGGACCUCUCAAGUCCCCGAUGUGAUGGCUCCUCAGCAUGAUCAGGAGAAAUUCCAUGAUCUUGCUUAUUCCUGUCUUGGGAAGUCCUUCUCCAUGUCUAACCAAGAUCUAUAUGGCUAUAGCACCAGCUCUUUGGCUCUUGGCUUGGCAUGGCUAAGUUGGGAGACCAAAAAGAAGAAUGUACUUCAUCUGGUUGGGCUGGAUUCCCUCUGAUAAGCCUUCCCAGUUGACUGAAAGAUGAGGCUAGGCUCUAGCAAGUUGAAGUCAAACCAGCUCCUUCAAGAAGCUUUGAGCAGAAUGAAGUGGGGAGGACCCAGCUUCCAGCCCAGGAAGCCCACUGUACCUGGAGCCAUCU